rnacentral:rRNA from 1 species
GACGAACGCUGGCGGCGUGCUUAACACAUGCAAGUCGAACGGAAAGGCCCUGCUCUUGUGGGGUGCUCGAGUGGCGAACGGGUGAGUAACACGUGUGUAACCUGCCCUUGACUUUGGGAUAACUUCAGGAAACUGGGGCUAAUAUCGGAUAGGAGCUCCUGCUGCAUGGUGGGGGUUGGAAAGUUUCGGCGGUUGGGGAUGGACUCGCGGCUUAUAAGCUUGUUGGUGGGGUAGUGGCUUACCAAGGCUUUGACGGGUAGCCGGCCUGAGAGGGUGACCGGCCACAUUGGGACUGAGAUACGGCCCAGACUCCUACGGGAGGCAGCGGUGGGGAAUAUUGCACAAUGGGGGGAAGCCUGAUGCAGCAACGCCGGGUGCGGGAUGACGGCCUUCGGGUUGUAAACCGCUUUCGCCUGUGACGAAGCGUGAGUGACGGUAAUGGGUAAAGAAGCACCGGCUAACUACGUG